UACGAAGGGGGCUAGCGUUGCUCGGAAUUACUGGGCGUAAAGGGCGCGUAGGCGGACAGUUUAGUCGGGGGUGAAAGCCCGGGGCUCAACCUCGGAAUUGCCUUCGAUACUGGCUGUCUUGAGUACGGGAGAGGCGUGUGGAACUCCGAGUGUAGAGGUGAAAUUCGUAGAUAUCGUAAGGAAGACCAGUGGCGAAGGCGGGUCUCUGGACAGUUCCUGACGCUGAGGCACGAAGGCCAGGGGAGCAAACGGG
rnacentral:rRNA from 1 species